UGUCAUGUUAAUGUCUUGUCACGUGACGUGUUCGUACGUGUACGUGUGAGUUUUAUUUGUCACUCCCGCACUCGACAUUAGAGGUAGCUGACGUACUUUAUACAUGCGACAUCUAUGACAACAUACAGUGUUAAAUGCAGCAAUAUCCUAAAAUGAAUUAAACAUGUAGACGUCGGAUCAGAAUUGUUGAUAUUGUCAUUAAGACCCCUGUCGGAUUGACAGGGGUCUUAUUCGUAAUAGAAAUAAAGAGUGCUUAAACGGAAA